AGGACGGACGCUGGCGGCGUGCUUAACACAUGCAAGUCGAGCGGUAAGGCUCCUUCGGGAGUACACGAGCGGCGAACGGGUGAGUAACACGUGAGCAAUCUGCCCUUCACUUCGGGAUAACUCCGGGAAACCGGUGCUAAUACCGAAUACGACCACUUCAGGCA
rnacentral:rRNA from 1 species